AUUGAACGCUGGCGGCAGGCUUAACACAUGCAAGUCGAGCGGGGUGAUGGUGCUUGCACUAUCACUUAGCGGCGGACGGGUGAGUAAUGCUUAGGAAUCUGCCUAUCAGUGGGGGACAACAUCUCGAAAGGGAUGCUAAUACCGCAUACGUCCUACGGGAGAAAGCAGGGGAUCACUUGUGACCUUGCGCUAAUAGAUGAGCCUAAGUCGGAUUAGCUAGUUGGUGGGGUAAAGGCCUACCAAGGCGACGAUCUGUAGCGGGUCUGAGAGGAUGAUCCGCCACACUGGGACUGAGACACGGCCCAGACUCCUACGGGAGGCAGCAGUGGGGAAUAUUGGACAAUGGGGGGAACCCUGAUCCAGCCAUGCCGCGUGUGUGAAGAAGGCCUUAUGGUUGUAAAGCACUUUAAGCGAGGAGGAGGCUCUUUUGGUUAAUACCCAAGAUGAGUGGACGUUACUCGCAGAAUGAGCACCGGCUAACCCUGUGCCAGCCGCCGCAGUAA
rnacentral:rRNA from 1 species